GAUGAACGCUGGCGGCGUGCUUAAUACAUGCAAGUCGAACGGAGUGCUAGCAAUAGUACUUAGUGGCGAACGGGUGAGUAACGCGUUGGUGACCUGCCCCGGAGAUGGGGGAUAACAGUUCGAAAGGACUGCUAAUACCCAAUGAAGUCAUCGAGGUUAGAGGCUUGGUGACGAAAGGAGAAAUCCGCUGCGGGAGGGGCCUGCGUCCCAUCAGCUAGUUGGUAGGGUAAAGGCCUACCAAGGCGAAGACGGGUAGGGGACCUGAGAGGGUGAUCCCCCACAUUGGCACUGAAACACGGGCCAAACACCUACGGGUGCAG
rnacentral:rRNA from 1 species